AUUUAACUCAAAAAUACUUUUUUUUCUUUCCAUCUCCGUGAUGGAAAACGAGCCCGGGCACUGUACUUGUCGCAGUCAUGAGGCUGAUAACAUUGGCAGGGAGGCAGUUUCAAGGGAGAUUGAUAGUGUCUCCUUCUACCAAGUUACCUCAAUUCACAGGACGCCUGAGCUCGCCGAGACAGCAGCGAAUCACAUUGAGCCGUACAUCAGCACAUUCUCUUAUCAACAGGAUGGCACGAUGGGAAAAACUUCAUUAAAGCAUCAACCGUCUGAGUUCUCCUGUCUCGUGACCUCAUCAGUGUUGCAGCAGAGCCCUGGACCAUUGAGCCAAG